rnacentral:rRNA from 1 species
UGGCCCAGAUCGUUUUACCGUGAAAAAAUUAGAGUGUUCAAAGCAGGCAGAUCCAAUUUUCUGCCACCGAAUACAUUAGCAUGGGAUAAUGGAAUAGGACCCUGUCCUCCUAUUUUCAGUUGGUUUUGGCAGCGCGAGGACUAGGGUAAUGAUUAAUAGGGAUAGUUGGGGGCAUUAAUAUUUAAUUGUCAGAGGUGAAAUUCUUGGAUUUAUGAAAGAUUAACUUCUGCGAAAGCAUCUGCCAAGGAUGUUUUCAUUAAUCAAGAACGAAAGUUAGGGGAUCGAAGACGAUCAGAUACCGUCGUAGUCUUAACCAUAAACGAUGCCGACCAGCGAUUAGGAGACGUUGAAUACAAAACACCACCAUCGGUGCGGUCGUCCUUGGCGUCUCGGUCCUUCACGGGGCCGGGUCGCGGGGGCGGCUUAGCCCGGUGGCACGGGU